rnacentral:rRNA from 1 species
AUUGAACGCUGGCGGCAGGCCUAACACAUGCAAGUCGAGCGGAUGAAGGGAGCUUGCUCCUGGAUUCAGCGGCGGACGGGUGAGUAAUGCCUAGGAAUCUGCCUGGUAGUGGGGGAUAACGUCCGGAAACGGGCGCUAAUACCGCAUACGUCCUGAGGGAGAAAGUGGGGGACUUCGGGCCUCACGCCAUCCGGUGAGGCUAGGUCGGAUUAGCUAGUUGGUGGGGGAAAGGCCUACCAGGGCGACGAUCCGUAACUGGUCUGAGAGGAUGAUCAGUCACACUGGAACUGAGACACGGUCCAGACUCCUACGGGAGGCAGCAGUGGGGAAUAUUGGACAAUGGGCGAAAGCCUGAUCCAGCCAUGCCGCGUGUGUGAAGAAGGUCUUCGGAUUGUAAAGCACUUUAAGUUGGGAGGAAGGGCAGUAAGUUAAUACCUUGCUGUUUUGACGUUACCAACAGAAUAAGCACCGGCUAACUUCGUG